UGAACUAGAGUGCUGUAGAGGGGGUAGAAUUCAGGUGUAGCGGUGAAAUGCGUAGAGAUCUGAAGGAAUACCAGUGGCGAAGGCGGCCCCCUGGACAGACACUGACACUCAGAUGCGAAAGCGUGGGGAGCAAACAGGAUUAGAUACCCUGGUAGUCACGCCGUAAACGAUGUCUACUUGGAGGUUGUGGCCUUGAGCCGUGGCUUUCGGAGCUAACGCGUUAAGUAGACCGCCUGGGGAGUACGGUCGCAAGAUUAAAACUCAAAUGAAUUGACGGGGGCCCGCACAAGCGGUGGAGCAUGUGGUUUAAUUCGAUGCAACGCGAAGAACCUUACCUACUCUUGACAUCCAGAGAAGCCAGCGGAGACGCAGGUGUGCCUUCGGGAACUCUGAGACAGGUGCUGCAUGGCUGUCGUCAGCUCGUGUUGUGAAAUGUUGGGUUAAGUCCCGCAACGAGCGCAACCCUUAUCCUUGUUUGCCAGCGAGUAAUGUCGGGAACUCCAGGGAGACUGCCGGUGAUAAACCGGAGGAAGGUGGGGACGACGUCAAGUCAUCAUGGCCCUUACGAGUAGGGCUACACACGUGCUACAAUGGCGCAUACAGAGGGCAGCAAGCUAGCGAUAGUGAGCGAAUCCCAAAAAGUGCGUCGUAGUCCGGAUUGGAGUCUGCAACUCGACUCCAUGAAGUCGGAAUCGCUAGUAAUCGUGAAUCAGAAUGUCACGGUGAAUACGUUCCCGGGCCUUGUACACACCGCCCGUCACACCAUGGGAGUGGGCUGCAAAAGAAGUGGGUAGUUUAACCUUUCGGGGAGGACGCUCACCACUUUGUGGUUCAUGACUGGGGUGAAGUCGUAACAAGGUAGCCCGUA
rnacentral:rRNA from 1 species